GCGGGUGUAGCGCAGUGGUAGCGCAAGUGCUUCCCAAGCACUGGGCCGUGGGUUCGAAUCCCAUCACCCGCUC
rnacentral:tRNA from 1 species